AGUGAACGCUGGCGGUAGGCCUAACACAUGCAAGUCGAACGGCAGCACAGUAAGAGCUUGCUCUUACGGGUGGCGAGUGGCGGACGGGUGAGGAAUACAUCGGAAUCUACUUUUUCAUGGGGGAUAACGUAGGGAAACUUACGCUAAUACCGCAUACGACCUACGGGUGAAAGCAGGGGAUCUUCGGACCUUGCGCGAUUGAAUGAGCCGAUGUCGGAUUAGCUAGUUGGCGGGGUAAAGGCCCACCAAGGCGACGAUCCGUAGCUGGUCUGAGAGGAUGAUCAGCCACACUGGAACUGAGACACGGUCCAGACUCCUACGGGAGGCAGCAGUGGGGAAUAUUGGACAAUGGGCGCAAGCCUGAUCCAGCCAUACCGCGUGGGUGAAGAAGGCCUUCGGGUUAUAAAGCCCUUUUGUUGGGAAAGAAAAGCAGCAGGUUAAUACCCCGCUGUUCUGACGGUACCCAAAGAAUAAGCACCGGCUAACUUCGUG
rnacentral:rRNA from 1 species